GUGGACACAUUUUUAAGCAAAAUGUUGAGUUUACACAUAAAAACAAGUUAACUCAAUGUUUACUAUAUUUUUCUCAAUGAACACAAAUAAGAAAGUUGAGCAAACUCAGUAUUUUUAUUUCUUCAUUUGAGCGGUCAACUUGACAUUAUUGCGCAUGCGCAAAGUGCCGUCGCUGAACUAUACAUGGAGUUUACUGCUUCAAACAUAAACAACGAUGGCAAAGGGAGUGGAUGUCUUCUUUUAAGGACACAAAGCCAGAGGAUGUCCACACCAAGGGUAUGAAGAUGAGCAUCUUAACUAUUACUGGAAGAUGAUGUUGUCAUCCACUCAAACCUAAAGGUUCUUUUUUGUGUGACCAGCUCUGUUCGGUUAAGGAUACUCUCUUCUCCACUAAGUAAUAGAGAUGCAUCAUAUUCACAACCUCAUCAUCUGCAGAGAAACUGCCACUCAAUCACACCACAUUGAUGGGCUUAAAGGCAUCACAGAGGAUCCUGAAGAUACAUUAUUCCUGGAAAUUUUGUCAUUUAUUUUCUAUUUCUAUUUUUACUUUCUGAUGUAUUUUUUUCAUGUUCAUUGUCAACUGUCAUUUAUUAUUUGUAUUUAGCCAAUAACUGUUUUUAGAGCAUUUUCAUUUUUGCUUCAAGUUCAUGUCAAUUAAAAAAAAAUAAAAGUACCUA